UACCUGUGGGCGUGGAACGGGGUAUUGCAAUCUAAGAGACUUGCUUAAUUUCUCUCUGCCAUCUGUUUUGUGCUUAGGUGACUGUCAGCUGCAAACAACUUGUCGGAUCCAGAAGUGCACCACUGAUUUUGUAUCCUUAACUUCACAUCUAAACUCGGCUCUUCAGGGCUUCAAUUUGGAGUUCUGCAAGGCCCUGCGAGCAUACUCUGCCUGUACCUAUCGCAAUUCCAAAGUAUGCCGUGGAAACCUGGUCUACCAUUCUGCAGUGCUUGGGAUUAGUGACCUCAUGAGCCAGAGAAACUGUUCCAAAGAUGGACCCACAUCCUCCACCAACCCUGAAGUGACCCAUGAUCCAUGCAAUUACAGUGGCCACACAGAAGCCAGAGAACAUCAGGGAAGGGAGAAAACUCCUCCUUCUACUUACCUAUUUUGUGGCUUGUUUGGUGAUCCUCAUCUCAGGACUUUUAAGGAUCACUUCCAGACAUGCAAAGUGGAAGGUGCUUGGCCCCUCGUAGACAAUAACUACUUAUCGGUGCAAGUGACCAAUGUGCCUGUGGUCCCAGGAUCCAGUGCUACUGCUACAAAUAAGGUAUGGAUUGUUCUUAAGCACUGUACAUGCAUAGGGAAGUAA